rnacentral:tRNA from 1 species
GGGGGCGUAGCUCAAUUGGUAGAGCAACGGACUUUUAAUCCGUAGGUCGUGGGUUCGAUCCCCACCGCCCUCA